UACGUAGGGAGCAAGCGUUGUCCGGAAUCAUUGGGCAUAAAGCGCGCGUAGGCGGCCUCAUAAGUCCGUUGUGAAAGUCAAAGGCUCAACCUUUGAAAGCCGAUGGAUACUGUGAGGCUAGAGUCCGGAAGAGGCGAGUGGAAUUCCUGGUGUAGCGGUGGAAUGCGCAGAUAUCAGGAGGAACACCAAUAGCGAAGGCAGCUCGCUGGGACGGUACUGACGCUAAGGCGCGAAAGCGUGGGGAGCGAACAGG
rnacentral:rRNA from 1 species